rnacentral:rRNA from 1 species
CCCUUAGAUGUUCUGGGCCGCACGCGCGCUACACUGAUGCAUACAACAAGCCUAGCCUUGACCGAGAGGUCCGGGUAAUCUUUGAAACUGCAUCGUGAUGGGGCUAGAUUAUUGCAAUUAUUAAUCUUCAACGAGGAAUGCCUAGUAAGCGUGAUUCAUCAAAUCGCGUUGAUUACGUCCCUGCCCUUUGUACACACCGCCCGUCGCUCCUACCGAUUGAAUGUGUUGGUGAGGAGCUCGGAUUGGCAGCAGUUGGUGGUUCGCCACCGGCUAUUGCUGAGAAGUCCUCCAAACCGCCCCAUUUAGAGGAAGGAGAAGUCGUAACA